rnacentral:rRNA from 1 species
UACGGAGGGUGCAAGCGUUAUCCGGAUUUACUGGGUUUAAAGGGAGCGUAGGCGGGUAUGUAAGUCAGUGGUGAAAGCCCUCAGCUUAACUGAGGAAUUGCCGUUGAUACUAUAUAUCUUGAAUAUCGUUGAGGUUUGCGGAAUAGGUCAUGUAGCGGUGAAAUGCUUAGAUAUGACCUGGAACACCUAUUGCGAAGGCAGCAGGCUAAACGAUGAUUGACGCUGAGGCUCGAAAGCGUGGGGAUCAAAC